rnacentral:rRNA from 1 species
UACCAGCACCCCGAGUGGUCGGGACGAUUAUUGGGCCUAAAGCAUCCGUAGCCGGUUCUGCAAGUCCCCCGUUAAAUCCAGCUGCUCAACAGGUGGGCCGCGGAGGAUACUACAGAGCUAGGAGGCAGGAGAGGCAAGCGGUACUCAGUGGGUAGGGGUAAAAUCCGUUGAUCCAUUGAAGACCACCAGUGGCGAAGGCGGCUUGCCAGAAUGCGCCCGACGGUGAGGGAUGAAAGCUGGGGGAGCAAACCGG